rnacentral:sRNA from 1 species
GUAGAUGCUAUUCUUUCUGUUAAUCUGUUAAAUUUAGUUCCAAGAUACAGAACUGCACCAACUUGGACUUCUGGGCCCAUCUCUCUUCAUCUGGAUGUAGGCAGUUUCCCCUUCCUAAACUUAAUGUCACCAAGUUUAUAAAAUGUACACAUCUUUCUUUGCAAACUGCAUGAUACGAGUGCCUCACCAGCAAACAGAUAACCUGUAUCACUUGCUUCCCACAUGUGGCCCUUUAAAUUCUGCUGGCUUCCCCUUGUAGGUAUCCUGCAGACAACCAUUUUGUUUUCAGACAUCCUGGAUGGCAGCCCAUGGUGGCCAUGAGGAAAUCUGCCACACCUCUAUCCUCACAGCUACCUGAGCCUGGACCAUCACUGCUUCCUUAAUUGUGAAACAUGCCCCAGAGGUAGGUGUCCUGUGUUUAUGUGGCAGUCAUUGUUCCCUACCAAAGCAUGAUUCACCUUCGCCACCUUCCAACAUUCCAACAGUGGGUGCAGGGACUUGGGAAGAGGCAAUCCUUUCUCCAAGAUUCUCCCUUGUUGCUGUGACAUCCAUAGUCUUAUGCUGCCCCAGUCUCUGACUUAUUCUAGUCCUCACUGAACAUCAGAACGAAGAGAAGAACAUGGAAGUCGGACAGAUGAAGGUGAAAAAGCACUAUAAUCCUCCCCUGACUGAUAAUGUGGUAAUGGUGACCAUGUGACCUUUCUUAUACCCAACCAUCAUUUAGUCCCCUGCCUGUAGUCAUGGGCAGAGCUGGACCAGCAUAGACCACCAAAGCCUGUGGACUUUAACUCUGUAACCCAAAGACAGCAGAUGUCUUUUAGUAGGCUGGCCCAAAGACAGAAAGAGGAGGCAAGCAUGACCUCUCACAAAUUCUUCUGCCAGAAGUUGGCAGUGUUCUUGUAGCAGGCAGUGAGUGAGGUAAGCGCUAGCCAAGACGGUGAAUCGAUAAAGGCCUAUAACCUGGUGACUCUUUAAAUCAAUAUUUUAAAAAUAGUUGUUUAAAAUUGAUAUAAAGUAAAGGGGAGUUUUAAUAUUCUGCUAGUUCAUCUAUUUUUCCCUCUCCUUUUAUGUCACCGAUGACAUUAUGCGGUUAUAGUUUUAUGUAUUUUCUAAAUGCCUUUGGUCCUUUAACGGUGGGGCACUUUCAAAGUUUGUCACACGGGUCACACCGUUAACCCUGUGCUUGAGCUUCUUUGGGCUCUUUUGUUUCUUAGUUUUUAUGCCAGUCAUGAUUGGAAAACCUUAAUCACUUCAAGUUGCUGGGGACAGAAAAGAUCCACAUAGAAAUGUUUAUUAAGUCUUACUCAAAAUGCUUUAAGAUUUUUUUGUGCCUUCUAUACAGGUAAUUUUCAUUUCCCAGUUGUUUCUGCUUUAUGCAUUUUUUUUUGAACCAAAUAGUUUCUUCAGAAUCAUAAAGUAGAGCUGACGAGAUAGGUGAGGGAUGAAGCGGUUGUUUGCUACAAGUUCUACCUGAGUUGCAGCGACCACUAUUACCAGAUUGCUGUAACUGACUGAUACACCGAGUGUCUACACCGAGAGCUGAAAGGAGAGGCACUUCCUCACUUGAAGCUGCAGGAAUAGCUUUUCGUGGUUUGAUGGAUCUGAUAGUUCAUGUUCACAGUCAACCUUGCAGCCUUGGAAAAUGAGGUGUAAAUUCAAAAGCCAAGAAGGCAGGACUGUGAAGAGAUAUUUGCACAUGAAUAUUUAUAGAAUCAUUUACUGUAGCCCAAAGGUGGAAACAGGAUGCUUAAGAACCAUCUUUCAAAUGGACAAAGGACCCUUUAUUUGAGAAAAUUAAGUUUGUCCAGUAAACAAGUAAGUGAAGAGGAAAUUGGGGCGUCUGUUCUUAGAGAAGCAAUUGGCUAUAGCAUCUUGUGAUGCCACAAAUCAAAUAAUUUUUCAAAAAGGCCCAGAUGUUUUUAAAGGGCACAGAGUUAACUGCAAUGAAUUUAUGAAGGGUCCAAUUCUGUUAACAAAAGAAAUAACGGUAGUUUGUAACUCAAAGAAUAAAAUAAAUAUGUUUACAUACAUACCGAUGAUGAAUAAGAAAUCCAGAGACAAUUCUUUCUGAAGGAUUUCAACUAAGACAUGGAGCAGAGAAGAGGGUGACCUAAAAUCCUCAUUAGGGCCCCAUAGUAUUAACUGCUUAGUCAGGUCCAUCUAUUGGCCCCAAGAUCAAUAAAAAAGCAAGAUGGUUGUGUGUUAGUUAUGUGGGACAAAUGGAAAAACAUUUAUUAUAUACUCAUACAAUUUGGACAAGUUUCUUGCAUUUUAUCCUUCCAACUCUCUUUUCCAUGACAAAGAAUUAAGAACACAGAGACUAAGAAUCUAGCACUGAACCAGUGAACUUACCAUUACAAAUUUUAAAAGAGGAAAAUGUCUUUGCUCUGGGCAAUUAAUGAGUUAAAGAGCACAUCACAAAUUCUAAUUUAGAUAUUAGAUUCAUGCAUAUUACAGAACACUUAUGCAUUAGUAAGUAGAAAUCUAAAUGGUUUAUUUUUCUAAUCAUAUCAUGACCUUCUCAUUCCUUUCUAACAGCUACCUACCUCAGAACGGGAAGGGAGUGAUUCAAUCAGUAAAUACUUAUUAACUGAAUGAAACCAAUCUCCAAACUUUGUGUUAUACACUGAAGCUCUAAAACUGAAAGGUGCCACAUCAUCUCCCCAAAAGCCCAUAAUCCAAUGAGAAAUGCUGACAAUGAAUAGAACAAUGUUGCAGUGUUAGAGGAGAACAAGGUACCCUGAAGGUGGGAAGCAGCCAGUUCAAAGACAAAUGGGCAUGAACUCAGAUAAUUCAGAGCUGGGACUGGAUGUAGCCUGGCUGGGGUUAAUGUUUCCACCUGGAGAGUGUCCCCAAGUCAAUAUGAACUAGAAACAUACUCACCAGGUGGGAAAAAAAAUCAUUUCGAAAGUGGAGGUCAACUAUG